rnacentral:tRNA from 1 species
CAGCGGGUUAAUCUAAAUUUAAGAUGUCGAGCUUCAAACUCGAAUAUAAGCAAGGUGCUUACCUGUUGU